rnacentral:rRNA from 1 species
AGAGUUGAUCCUGGCUCAGGAUGAACGCUGGCGGCGUGCCUAACACAUGCAAGUCGAGCGAACCCUUCGGGGUGAGCGGCGGACGGGUGAGUAACGCGUGGGUAACCUGCCCUGUACACACGGAUAACAUACCGAAAGGUAUGCUAAUACGAGAUAAUAUGUAAUGACCGCAUGGUCGAUACAUCAAAGCUCCGGCGGUACAGGAUGGACCCGCGUCUGAUUAGCUAGUUGGUGAGGUAAUGGCUCACCAAGGCGACGAUCAGUAGCCGACCUGAGAGGGUGAUCGGCCACAUUGGAACUGAGACACGGUCCAAACUCCUACGGGAGGCAGCAGUGGGGAAUAUUGCACAAUGGGCGAAAGCCUGAUGCAGCAACGCCGCGUGAGCGAUGAAGGCCUUCGGGUCGUAAAGCUCUGUCCUCAAGGAAGAUAAUGACGGUACUUGAGGAGGAAGCCCCGGCUAACUACGUGCCAGCAGCCGCGGUAAUACGUAGGGGGCUAGCGUUAUCCGGAAUUACUGGGCGUAAAGGGUGCGUAGGUGGUUUCUUAAGUCAGAGGUGAAAGGCUACGGCUCAACCGUAGUAAGCUCUUGAAACUGUAAGACUUGAGUGCAGGAGAGGAGAGUGGAAUUCCUAGUGUAGCGGUGAAAUGCGUAGAUAUUAGGAGGAACACCAGUUGCGAAGGCGGCUCUCUGGACUGUAACUGACGCUGAGGCACGAAAGCGUGGGGAGCAAACAGGAUUAGAUACCCUGGUAGUCCACGCCGUAAACGAUGGGUACUAGGUGUAGGAGGUUUCGAUACCUUCUGUGCCGCAGUUAACGCAAUAAGUACCCCGCCUGGGGAGUACGUGCGCAAGCAUGAAACUCAAAGGAAUUGACGG